AUUUACCAAUUUUCCAUAUAAGGAAACUGAGGUUCCAAUAGAUAAAGCAAAUCCACCAAGGUCAUGCAACUUGAGAACUGGAUUUGAAAACAAGGAUGCAUCCAAACCAACCACGAUAUUUUCCAUUUCCAAACUCCUCAUAUUCAUGCACUCCUGGCACAAAUAGAAGUGACUCUGUUGGUGUGUUUGUGAGUGUCUCCCAAUCCAGAUUAACUUGGGGAGUGUUGCUAUCUUAAUAAUAACUACGUCUUCUGAUCCAGAAACAAGGACUGUGUGGAAAAGGAGUGUUCUUGACCUCCCAGCUGCAGAAAGUUUGAUUUUAGCCUCUCCAACAUGAAGCUUGGAAAGAUAAGGAAAUAUGGCAAAUCGCCUCUCCCAGGGAAAUGCUAUAGUCCUUAAAUGAAAUGCAGGUGUUGGGGACAGAAGGAGCCCUGUUUUUUGGCCUCAUCUACCUGGACUGAAAUUUACACCAUGGUGAAUUAAGAUAGGAAGAGUGAGUCGUAACUCAAGUGCCACAGAAUUCUGAUGAAAUUCAACAGAUUUUCUUGAAUAAAUGUUUAUCCAUUUGUUUUACGUCCUUAUGAAAAUUUCCAAAGAUUAACUAGUUGGAUGUUUUACAUUAUAGUUGGUUCACUGCAGAGAAAUUCAUGUGGGUCUUCACCAUUCUAGAAGUUGUCAUCUAGCUUGUGUCUGUCCUUUUGAUAAACGGUCAUUUUGCUUAAAUUAGCUAGAAUUGGUUUCUAUUAUAAUAAUUGCAGCUAACUGUAAUACUUUCAGUCAUGCCCCCUACCACCUGCACAAAAGGCUUACACAGAAACACAGAAAACUGCCAAAUUAAGACCUAUCAUUACUUUAUGUAUAAAAUAUUUUUGUUGAAAUAUGUGACCUUUGCUUAAAAGUUAUAAAUUCUCUUUAAUAUUGGCAAUUGAGUAUUUUUUGUUUCAGCAAACUUUUUUUUUUUUUUUUUUUUUUGAGAUGGAGUCUUGCUCUGUCGCCCAGGCUGGAGUGCAGUGGCGCGAUCUUGGCUCACUGCAAGCUCCACCUCCUGGGUUCAAGCAAUUCUGCCUCAACCUCACAAGUAGCUGGGAUUAUAGGUGCCCACUGCCAUGCCUGGCUAAUUUUUUUGUAUGUUUAGUAGAAAUGGGAUUUCACCAUGUUGACCAGGCUGGUCUCAAACUCCUAACCUCAGGUGAUCCACCUGCCUCACCCUCCAAAAGUGCUGGGAUUACAGGCAUGAGCCACUAUGCCUGGCCCGGUUCAGCAAACUUCUAAAAAGACAAAAGUGAACUUCAAGAUAUAGUUUCUUUCCACUGAUGCAGAUGUCAUAUAAAUAUAAGAUGGAAUAAUUCUGUAUAUAAGAUACAUAUUCUGACUUUUUUCGGCUAAUAUAUUGUGAAUGUUUUAUAAUUCAAUAGUCACUAAUGUAAAAUUUUUAACUUCAGAUUCCUAAAUGCACUUGGGAAAUCAUGAACAUUUUCGCAUUUUGUUCUUAUCUCUGGACAUGAUUUUAGGUAAGUCCAUGUACAUUUUAGAAGAGGAGAAUGCCCAUAAUGUUUAUCCUAUUUUUACAAUGGUCUGUGACUCUCAAAUUUCUAAGAAUCAUAAUGCACAGUGACAGUGACCAUUAAAAUAACUGAAUAGCAUUUCAGUUAUUGAUAUAUGGCAAUUUAUUAACCAUUUCUGUAUACAGGAACUAGAUCGGUUCUAAUUUUUACUCUUAUGACUAAUGUUGUCAUGAGUAACCAUUCUUUAGCUAGAUAGUUGAACAAAUCCUUCUUAAAACUAAUUUCUAUGAUUGAAAUUGCCUACACAAAGGAUAUGCACAUUUUAAGGCUUUUGGUAUGUAUUGCUAAAUUAUCCUCUAGAACGGGUGUAUUAGCUCUGUUACCAGAAAAUCCUACAAAUUGCCUAAUUUUAUAGACUAAAAAUGGCCUAUGGUGUCUGUGGUCAUAAACUAGUGAAAAAACUGACCAUCAUAAUUAAACAUAUUGAGUUAUGUUUCUCUCUUACUAUAGAUAUAUGAUGCAUAAACUUCUGUAGUUGCACUUCUGCACCUUUAGUACUAGUAAAAAGCCUAGCUCCAAUUGCAAAAAAAAAAAAAAAAAAAAAGCCUCUUAAUAAUGGCAGCCAGCCACAUUCAUUCCAUUGCGUACCUGCUGUGGAUCCAUGCAGAGUGGUCUGGCCUCAUCAUCCUUAGAAUUUUCCAUGGCAUACUCUGUGAGGCAGCUAUCUCUCAGCUACACCACAGAAUACAUGCAUUUACAACUUUGGUAGACAUCCCCUGGCUUCCACCUGCUGCUGGGAUACAAACACUUCUAUACCAUCUCAGAUCCUCUCCUGUGACAGAAAUAAUGUCAGAUAAAUGGAAAGUCAAGAUUGGGAUUUGGCUACCUGCUUGUGUGAUAUGUUGAUAUCACUGGGAAACAUUUGUAAGCCUCCAAAACUAUUUUUUUGGUCCAAGAUACAAAAUCUUUUCCCAUGCAAUACUCAUCUUGAAGAAUUGUAAGGAACCAAGUUUAUGAUUUAUAGUUAUUCAUAUUUGAAGUGAUUUGUGGUUUCCCUUCUGUGUGGGGCUGGACACAAAAUGAAGCCUUCUGAUGACACUGCACAUUGCAGUUUCUGGACUUGAAUAUUUUCAGUUUAUGGGUUUUCAUUUCUGCAUUUGAGUGCAUCGGUAUUGCUGUUGAGAAAGUUUUGAAAAUAGAUUUUACUUAUUUUUAUCUCUUUCUCUUUUACUCUCACACUUGCAACUACUUUCUGGCGUUCACAGGCAUUCCAUCAUAUGUGACUUACGGCAUUUAUUUGGUAACUCUGAAUGAUAUCCCUAUUCAAUAAAUGUUACUUGGAUAACUGGCUAGACAUAUGCAGAAGAUUCAAAAUAGACCCCUUUCACUAUACACAAAAAUCAACUCAAAAUGAAUUAAAGACUUAACUGUAAAACCUAAAACUAUAAAGACUAGAAAAAAAAUUCUAGGAAAUACCAUUCUGAACACUGGCCCAGGCAAAGGCUUCAUGACAAAACUCUGAAAGCAACUGCAACAAAAACAAAAAUUGACAAAUGGGACCUAGUUAAACUAAAGAGCUCUGCAUAAUAAAAGAAACUAGCAACAGAGUAAACAAACAACUUAUAGAAUCGGAGAAAAUAUUUGCAAACUAUGAAUUCGACAAAGGUCUAAUAUCCAGAAACUAUAGCAAACUCAAACAAAUCAACAAGAAAAAAAAAUUUAAAAAAUGGUCAAAGGACGUGAACAGACACUUCUCCAAAGAAGACAUAUAUGUAGCCAACAAACAUAUGAAAAAAUGCUCAAUAUCACUGAUCAUCAGAGACAUGUGAAUCAAAAUCAUAACAAGAUACCAUCCCAUACCAGUCAGAAUGGCUAUUAUUAAAAAGUCAAAAAAUAACAGAUUGUGGUGAGAUUGUGGAUAAAAGUGAUACCCGUGUCCAUUACACUGCUGGGGGGAAUUUAAGUUAGUUCAGCAAUUGUAAAAGGCAGUGUGGCUAUUCCUCAAAAAACUUAAAAAAUACUCACCAUUCAACCCAACAAUUCUAUUAUUGGGUAUAUACCCAAAAGAAUAUAAAUCAUUUUGCCAUAAAGACACAUGCAUGUGUAUAUACAUCACAGUACUAUUCACAAUAGCAAAGACAUGGAAUUAACAUAGUUGCCCAUUGAUGUCAGACUGGAGAAAGAAAAGGUGGUAUCUGUUUAUCAUAGAAUACUAUGCGCUAUAAAAAAUGAGAUAAUGGCUUUUACAACAGCCUAGAUGGAGCUGGAGGCCAUAAUCCUAAGUGAAUUAAUGCAAGAACAGAGAACCAAAUACCAUGUGUUCUCUCUUAUAAGUGGAAGCAAAACACUGAAUACACAUGGACACAAAGAAGGGAACAAGAGACACUGAGACCUGUUUGAAGGUGGAGGAUUUGAGGAGGGUGAGGAUUGAAAAGACUACUUAUUAGGUAUUAUGCUGAUUACCUAGGUGACACUAAAUCCCCAUGACACACAAUUUACCCAUGUAACCAACCUGCACAUAUACCCCUUAAACCUAAAAUAAAAAUUAGAAUGAAAAAUAAAUUAAUUGGAGACAUAUUUUAUAGUAUUUCAAUGGAAUAAGCUGGACUACAACAAAUACAUGUAUACUACAAGAUAAAGAAUCUCUGUUUUCCUGUCUUGAAAGACAAAUAAAACACUGUGAAUAUCUGACGUCUGAAUCCAAAAGUUGGGGAUGUAAAGCAAAGUUUAAAUUUCUAUUGUUUAGGACUAAAUAUGAAAUAAAAUUGCUUAAAAUCC
rnacentral:lncRNA from 1 species